rnacentral:lncRNA from 1 species
AAUUGCUCUGAAGGGCCAUUACCACAUAAAUAUGCAAGUAUUUCUGACAAGCUGUGUUGUUUAAUGAAGCUACCAAAAAUGAACUAAAUUUAAUAAAGCAGAUAUAACAAGCUACUGAAGAACUGAUGUUGGAGAUACCUCCUUCCUUCUUAGCUAAAAUGAAUAAACAAAUUUGAGAAGAUUUUGAGGAGAAAGAAGGAAAUGCUCUCGGAAGAAGGAGAGAAUAUUCUCCUCCACAGAGGGUAAUCAGUGAAGAACCUACUCCAUAGGAGAGAGGAAAUGAAUUGAGCAUCUUAUCUCUCCUCUCCGCGAGAAACUCCUUGGACCCUGCCCAUCGACAAAAGCAG